GACGAACUCUGGCGGCGUGCUUAACACAUGCAAGUCGAACGGAAAGGCCUUUUCGGAGGUACUCGAGUGGCGAACGGGUGAGUAACACGUGGGUGAUCUGCCCUGCACUCUGGGAUAAGCCUGGGAAACUGGGUCUAAUACCGGAUAGGACCGCACUUUAGUGUGUGUGGUGGAAAGUUUUUUCGGUGUAGGAUGAGCCCGCGGCCUAUCAGCUUGUUGGUGGGGUAAUGGCCUACCAAGGCGGCGACGGGUAGCCGGACUGAGAGGUUGGUCGGCCACAUUGGGACUGAGAUACGGCCCAGACUCCUACGGGAGGCAGCAGUGGGGAAUAUUGCACAAUGGGCGCAAGCCUGAUGCAGCGACGCCGCGUGGGGGAUGACGGCCUUCGGGUUGUAAACUCCUUUCGCCAGGGACGAAGCGUUUUGUGACGGUACCUGGAGAAGAAGCACCGGCUAACUACGUG
rnacentral:rRNA from 1 species